rnacentral:rRNA from 1 species
GAUGAACGCUGGCGGCGUGCUUAACACAUGCAAGUCGAACGAUGAGGCCCAGCUUGUGGGGUGUACUAGAGUGGCGAAGGGGUGAGAAACGCGAGAAUAACGUCCCCUUCUCUGUGGUAUGCCUUGGGGAAACCGGGUAUUAUAGCAGAUGUGACCUCACCCCGCGUGGUGGGGGUGGGAAGAUUUCUCCGGUUGGGGAUGGACUCGCGGCUUAUCAGCUUGUUGGUGGGGUAGUGGCUUACCAAGGCUUUGACGGGUAGCCGGCCUGAGAGGGUGACCGGCCACAUUGGGACUGAGAUACGGCCCAGACUCCUACGGGAGGCAGCAGUGGGGAAUAUUGCACAAUGGGCGGAAGCCUGAUGCAGCAACGCCGCGUGCGGGAUGACGGCCUUCGGGUUGUAAACCGCUUUCGGCUGUGAAGAAGCGAGAGUGACGGUACUGGCUAAAGAAGCACCGGCUAACUACGUG